AUUGAACGCUGGCGGCAGGCCUAACACAUGCAAGUCGAACGAGUGGCGGACGGGUGAGUAAUGUAUGGGAAACUGCCUGAUGGAGGGGGAUAACUACUGGAAAUGGUAGCUAAUACCGCAUACCAUCAGAUGUGCCCAGAUGGGCUUAGCUUGUUGGUGGGGUAACGGCUCACCAAGGCGACGAUCCCUAGCUGGUCUGAGAGGAUGAUCAGCGUCACUGGAACGGUGCUACGGUCAGGACUCCUGCGGGAGUCAGCAGUGGGAAAUCUUGCACAUUGGGCGCAAGCCUGAUGCAGCCAUGCCGCGUGUAUGAAGAAGGCCUGCGGGUUCUAAAGUACUUUCAGCGGGGAUGCGUUACCCGCAGAAGAAGCACCUGCUAACGCCAUGCCAGCAGCCGCGGUAAUAC
rnacentral:rRNA from 1 species